rnacentral:rRNA from 1 species
UACGUAGGGUGCGAGCGUUAAUCGGAAUUACUGGGCGUAGAGCGUGCGCAGGCGGUGAUGUAAGACCGAUGUGAAAUCCCCGGGCUUAACCUGGGAACUGCAUUGGUGACUGCAUUGCUGGAGUAUGGCAGAGGGGGGUGGAAUUCCACGUGUAGCAGUGAAAUGCGUAGAGAUGUGGAGGAACACCGAUGGCGAAGGCAGCCCCCUGAGCCAAUACUGACGCUCAUGCACGAAAGCGUGGGGAGCAAACAGG